rnacentral:rRNA from 1 species
UACGGAGGAUCCAAGCGUUAUCCGGAUUUAUUGGGUUUAAAGGGUGCGUAGGCGGCCUAUUAAGUCAGGGGUGAAAGACGGUAGCUUAACUAUCGCAGCGCCUUUGAUACUGAUGGGCUUGAAUACACUAGAGGUAGGCGGAAUGUGACAAGUAGCGGUGAAAUGCAUAGAUAUGUCACAGAACACCAAUUGCGAAGGCAGCUUACUAUGGUGCAAUUGACGCUGAGGCACGAAAGCGUGGGGAUCAAACAGG